rnacentral:rRNA from 1 species
CUUGGUAGUUAUUGAGAUAGGGGUACACCUGUUCCCAUCCCGAACACAGAAGUUAAGCCUAUCUUCGCCGAUGUUACUGCAGUUUAGCUGUGGGAAAGUAGGUCGCUGCCAAGG